UCGAGUUUUGAACGGGGUUGCUUAGCUGGCCUGCAUACGCGGGCAUGUGCACGAGCCUGCAUUCAUCACACUCUGUCAACCAUCUGUGCACUUAUGUAGGCUAGCGCGUGAAGGUCGCAUUCAUUGCGGCUGGAAGCCUGUCUACGUUUUACUACAGAACGCUUCAGUUAUAGAAUGUUUAUCUGCGUAUAACGCAUUUAUAU
rnacentral:misc_RNA from 1 species